rnacentral:rRNA from 1 species
CCCGGCGAAUAAGUUUUAAAUGGCCGCAGUUUGGAGCUGUGCUAAGGUAGCGUAAUAAUUUGUCCUCUAAUUGAGGAAAUGAAUCAAAGGUUUGACGUAAUAACUACUGUCUCAUAAAUAGAUUUAAAAUUUUUCUUUGCGGUGAAAAGACCCCAAUUGUUUUAAAAGACGAGAAGUCCCUAUCGAGUUUAAAUGAUAUUAGUUUAGUAACUAAUUAAAAUUUAGUUGGGGCAACUAGGGAGCAUAAUUAGACUCUUAAUUUUUCUUAGAUCCAAAUAUAAUUUUGAAAAGAGGAAAAAGUUACCGUAGGGAUAACAGCGUUAUCUUCUCUGAGAGGACAAAUUGAAGGGAGG